CCUACGGGUGGCUGCAGUGGGGAAUAUUGCACAAUGGCCGAAACCCUGAUCCAGCGACGCCGCGUGAGCGUUGAAGUAUCUCGGUAUUUAAAGCUCUAUCAUCCGGGAAGAAAGUGACAGUACUUGACAAAGAAGCCCCUGCUAACUACGUGCCAGAAGCCCCGGUACAUCGGAGGGGCCACGCGUUAUCCGGGUUUACGGGCCGUAUCGGGAGCGCUGGCGGAACGGCAAGUCUGGUGGGAAAACCCGGGGCCCAAGCGCGGGAGUGCAAUGGAACCUGCCUGGCUGGAGUGUAGGAGGGGUAAGAGGAAUGCGUGGUGUAGCGGUGAAAUGCGUAGAUAUUA
rnacentral:rRNA from 1 species